GUUGGAAUAGCUUAGUUGGUUAGAGUUUGUGGCUCUUAACCACAAUGUUGGAGGUUCAAGCCCUCUUUCUAGUG